GAUCUGUGAGGAAAAUGGCUCUAGCGGUUGUUGGGUCCUUCGCAUUCUUCUGACUUAUCAGAUGACAUAGCCUUAGUCUGAGAUC
rfam:Capsella rubella cultivar Monte Gargano unplaced genomic scaffold scaffold_2, whole genome shotgun sequence.